rnacentral:rRNA from 1 species
AUGGAUCCGAGCUUGCGCGCCGCCGCUCCUCCCACCAAGCCAAGCUCGCACGCCACCGCUGCCGGCGCCACCAACUGGCCGCCCCUCGUCAGUUCGUGUGUUCCAUCCGCACCAAAAUCGCCGUCCCUAGCUUCCCGUGGAUCCCUGCGCGCCGCCGCCCACCAGAAGGAUGCUCUCGUUCUCCCCAACGCCCCUUUCCUUAAGCAUUCAUGCGCUCCAAAAGUCAACGCGACACAGCUGCUUCCUCCGGCAACACCUCCUACCAGCGCCGACGGUUCUGAGGUUACCUUGUUAGUAGUUCAACUUUGCUAA